rnacentral:rRNA from 1 species
GAUGAACGCUGGCGGCGUGCCUAAUACAUGCAAGUAGAACGCUGAAGGAAGGAGCUUGCUCUUUCCGGAUGAGUUGCGAACGGGUGAGUAACGCGUAGGUAACCUGCCUGGUAGCGGGGGAUAACUAUUGGAAACGAUAGCUAAUACCGCAUAACAGUAGAUGUUGCAUGAUAUCUACUUAAAAGGUGCAAUUGCACCACUACCAGGUGGACCUGCGUUGUAUUAGCUAGUUGGUGAGGUAACGGCUCACCAAGGCGACGAUACAUAGCCGACCUGAGAGGGGGAUCGGCCAAACUGGGACUGAGACACGGCCCAGACUCCUACGGGAGGGAGCAGGAGGGAAUCUUCGGCAAUGGACGGAAGGCUGAACGAGCAACGCCGCGGGAGUGAAGAAGGGUUUCGGAUCGUAAAGCUCUGUUGUAAGAGAAGAACGAGUGUGAGAGUGGAAAGUUCACACUGUGACGGUAUCUUAUCAGAAAGGGACGGCUAACUACGUG